GACGUAGGGUGCGAGCGUUGUCCGGAAUUACUGGGCGUAAAGAGCUCGUAGGUGGUUUGUCGCGUUGUUCGUGAAAACCGUGGGCUUAACCCUCGGCGUGCGGGCGAUACGGGCAGACUUGAGUACUGCAGGGGAGACUGGAAUUCCUGGUGUAGCGGUGGAAUGCGCAGAUAUCAGGAGGAACACCGGUGGCGAAGGCGGGUCUCUGGGCAGUAACUGACGCUGAGGAGCGAAAGCGUGGGGAGCGAACAGG
rnacentral:rRNA from 1 species